rnacentral:siRNA from 1 species
GCCCGGGCUUUUGAUACGCUUG